rnacentral:rRNA from 1 species
UACGUAGGAGGCAAACGUUAUCCGGAUUUACUGGGCGUAAAGCGCAUGUAGGUGGUUCUGUAAGUAGGGCGUGAAAGCUCCCGGCUCAACUGGGAGAGGCCGUUCUAAACUACAGAGCUAGAGGAUGGUAGAGGGAGGUGGAAUUCCGGGUGUAGCGGUGGAAUGCGCAGAUAUCCGGAGGAACACCAGUGGCGAAAGCGGCCUCCUGGUCCAUUCCUGACACUCAGAUGCGAAAGCUAGGGUAGCAAACGGGAUUAGAUACCCGCGUAGUCCCUGA